rnacentral:tRNA from 1 species
GAAGUAAAAUACCAAAAAUUGAACUUCUAAUUCAAUUUCCUAGUGGUGCAAAUCCAUUAAUACUUCU